UUGAUGGCGUAGAUUUGAGGCGACCCUGGUCGAAUGCCGGAACGAUAAAGGUAGCUGUGAUGGUCCUGCACAUCUGUCCCGUUUUCCUUGCUUGCAUCUUGUCCUUGAUGCAUGGUUGGUUGCUCAGUUAUGUCCGCUGAUACAGUAGCUCUUCUGUCUGUGUAGUGGGGGAUUUGGGUGAUCGAGUUGGAUGGUUGCUGGUGUGAAGUUAUAGGUAGUUUCUAAUUGGGGAAUUGCAAAUUAUACACCAUUCUGCAUUGGCAACAAUGUGCCAAUGCUAGCCGUUUUUGAUUAUGUGAAUCUUAUGAUGCAGGUUAGUUGCUUAGUUUUGCCCAUGGACAUGAUUGCUCUUCUCAUGGUGUAAUGGAGGAAUGAGGGAGCUCUGCCCGUGAACUGAUUUUUGUUUGUUCAUCAUGCUUUUCUUUUUCUUACUAUUGGAGCUAUGGUUGGAUGGUUGCUGUGAUAUGGUGUUUUAGUUUGCUUGUCAUUGGGGAUUGAUUUUUGGGUAUAUGGAAGAUAGGGUUGCAAAUAAUAUCAGUAGGCACUGCCAACAAUGUGUCGGUGUUAGCCUUCUGUGAUUAUGUAAACUUGCUGGCAGUAAAGAUCAUUCCUUUGUAUAGAAACAUUUAGAUGCUUUAAAACUAUUGGUACAAUUCAAGGGCUAAUGAGUUUUAUGAAAGAUUGGAUUUUUAUCUGCUGCAACUUUCUGUGGAGUAGUGCUAUGUAUUUUGUUCUUGCUGCUAGGACCCAUGGACUAAUUUUUAAAUUUUUUUCUCUACCGUUUUGAGUUCAUGUUCAUGUUAGUCAUUUUAUUGAUAGAGAAAGACAGGACUGUAGUUCUACAAAGCAUUUAUAAUGAACUUUGAAUGAAAUGAGCAUCUGUGAUUCUAUCAAGAAUCCCUUUACACAUAUUACUCGUAUUGAUAGCAGUUUUCUUGUUCUGAAGAGAAUCUCUUCCUCUUUGAGGAAUCAAGUUUUCUUGGUUUGCUCACGCCUUGUUGCUCUGUUCUUGUACGUGCUGCAGGCAGACCCCUAGAUCCAGGAGGUUUUGGAGAUGCAACCUCCAAAUCUUGGGCUCCAGAGCGACAAGGAGGCAAGGCAGUCCCUCCUCAAGACGAGGGCCUGCAUGCUUCAUGAUGCCCUGCAUGUGGGGGUGCUAAGCUUCUCAACCCUUCCGUCCUCUCCGAGCUAAAGAUGAGCUGUUACCAUGGAAGGUCCCUCCUCUCCUGAGAGCGGGAACUCGCAGCAGCAGGCACUCCAGCCACCUCAAGCACUAGACGAGGUAUGCCCUCCUCUCCUUCCAACCCCUUCCUUGCUGUCAAAUCUUGUUUGCCGUUGGGACUUACUACACUAGCCUAAUAUGCAAUAUCUAUUAUUUAUUAAACCAAAGUUUUUUGUGUUAUGUAAUCCCCUAUGACAUUCUGUCUUCUGUAAUUGUGAGUGCAUAACUGAAAAGAGAUGCAUCCUGAGUGACAUCAGUUGUAUACUUGUAUAUCUGAAACUAAGUUGUGUUUGUCAGUAUGAGACUUAAAAUUCAGCUACUUCUGCUAAGCACACUUUGCAAUGAAGAGAGGCAAGUAGUUAUCCUCUAGUGCUGAAAGCAAUAGACCUCCAUGUAGAUGUAGCUUUCUUGUAGUGCUGAGAACAAGAAAUUCUUGGAGCUAUCAGUGUUUUAACACUGUAAUUCGUGGGGACCUGGUUCUUCCCUUUUGAUGUACGCCAAUGAUAUGACUCAUGAAUAGCAAUCAACCAUAUUAGUACCUAUCUUUUUUAGAGAUUGCCGUGUUUAUGUUUUUAUUACUGGACACAAGUUAUUAUUCUUGUGUUACAAAGCUUGUUUGCAAAAGUUGGGCAUGAUACUGACCUGCCCAGUAUUAUGAUGUUCACUUCAGUUGGAUGGUGAUCACCCAGCCGGUGCACCAUAGGAUGCUACUUGUUCCAUGUAGCUAGCCUUUGGCUUGGGCAUGUUCAACAUGGAUGACAUUAGAGGGCCGGGGCAUCCAUUACUGUGGCACCAGUUUGCUGGUGACGAUACUAGGGAGCCCAGAGAAGCGGAGCUUGCCCUCGCCGAGCACCAGGGCAAGUACAUGGCUGCCAUCCUUAAAAAGCUCGGCGAGGGUUGAUUCUGAGCGAGCCAGCAGGUGGAUCCUUGAUUCUUUGUUGAUAUAU